AUUGAACGCUGGCGGCAAGCCUAAUACAUGCAAGUCGAACGAGUGGCGGACUGGUGAGUGAUGUCUGGGAAAGUGGCUGAUGGACGGGGAUAAGUACUGUAAACGGUAGCUAAUACUGCUUACCAUCGGAUGUGCUGUGAUGGGAUUAGCUAGUAGGUGGGGUAAAGGCUCACCUAGGCGACGAUCCCUAGCUGGUCUGAGAGGAUGACCAGCCACACUGGAACUGAGACACGGCCCAGACUCCUACGGGAGGCAGCAGUGGGGAAUAUUGGACAAUGGGCGCAAGCCUGAUGCAGCCAUGCCGCGUGUAUGAAGAAGGCCUUCGGGUUGUAAAGUACUUUCAGCGGGGAGGCGUUACCCGCAGAGGAAGCAACGGCUAACUCCGUGCCAGCAGCCGCGGUAAUAC
rnacentral:rRNA from 1 species